rnacentral:rRNA from 1 species
AUUGAACGCUGGCGGCAGGCCUAACACAUGCAAGUCGAGCGAGCGGCGGACGGGUGAGUAAUGUAUGGGGACUGCCCGAUAGAGGGGGAUAACUACUGGAAACGGUAGCUAAUAACACAUACUAUCGGAAAACCCAUAUGUGAUUAGCUAGUGGGUGAGGUAAUGGUUCACCUAGGCGACGAUCCCUAGCUGGUCUGAGGGGAUGAUCAGCCACACUGGGACUGAGACACGGCCCAGACCCCUACGGAGGCAGCAGUGGGGAGUAUUGCACAAUGGGCGCAAGCCUGAUGCAGCCAUGCCGCGUGGAUGAAGAAGGCCCUGGGGUUGUAAAGUACUUUCAUUCGGGAGGCGUUACCGACAGAAGAAGCACCGGCUAACUCCGUGCCAGCAGCCGCGGUAAUUC